rnacentral:rRNA from 1 species
UACAGAGGGUGCGAGCGCUAAUCGGAAUUACUGGGCGUAAAGCGUGCGUAGACGGCUAUCUAAGUCGGGUGUGAAAGCCCCGGGCUCAACCUGGGAAUUGCAUUCGAGACUGAAUAGCUAGGGUGCGGUAGAGGGAAGCGGAAUUUCCGGUGUAGCGGUGAAAUGCGUAGAUAUCGGAAGGAACAUCAGUGGCGAAAGCGGCUUCCUGGACCAGCACCGACGUCAGGCACGAAAGCGUGGGGAGCAAACAGGA